CUCAGCAAAGGGCAAACUGUCGGUGACGGCAAGACGCAAAACCUCCGGCCUUUUCUGUUGAAGGUAGCGGGGUUGCCUGG
rnacentral:ncRNA from 1 species